rnacentral:rRNA from 1 species
GACGAACGCUGGCGGCGUGCUUAACACAUGCAAGUCGAACGGUAAGGCCCUGCUUUUGUGGGGUGCUCGAGUGGCGAACGGGUGAGUAACACGUGAGUAACCUGCCCUUGACUUUGGGAUAACUUCAGGAAACUGGGGCUAAUACCGGAUAGGAGCUCCUGCUGCAUGGUGGGGGUUGGAAAGUUUCGGCGGUUGGGGAUGGACCCGCGGCUUAUCAGCUUGUUGGUGGGGUAGUGGCCUACCAAGGCUUUGACGGGUAGCCGGCCUGAGAGGGUGACCGGCCACAUUGGGACUGAGAUACGGCCCAGACUCCUACGGGAGGCAGCAGUGGGGAAUAUUGCACAAUGGGCGGAAGCCUGAUGCAGCGACGCCGCGUGGGGGAUGACGGCCUUCGGGUUGUAAACCGCUUUCGCCUGUGACGAAGCGUGAGUGACGGUAAUGGGUGAAGAAGCACCGGCUAACUACGUG